CACGUAGAUGGCUUUGUAAGUCAGAUGUGAAAUCCCCGGGCUCAACCUGGGAACUGCAUUUGAAACUGCAUUGCUCGAAUGUGGAAGAGGGAAGCGGAAUUCCAGGUGUAGCGGUGAAAUGCGUAGAUAUCUGGAGGAACAUCAGUGGCGAAGGCGGCUUCCUGGUCCAACAUUGACAUUCAGGUGCGAAAGCGUGGGGAGCAAACAGGAUUAGAUACCCUGGUAGUCCACGCCAUAAACGAUGAGAACUAGAUGUCGGGAGGGUUAGCCUUCCGGUGUCGCAGCUAACGCGUUAAGUCUCCGCCUGGGGAGUACGGCCGCAAGGUUGAA
rnacentral:rRNA from 1 species